ACCAGACUCCUACGGGAGGCAGCAGUGAGGAAUAUUGGUCAAUGGACGAGAGUCUGAACCAGCCAAGUAGCGUGAAGGAUGACUGCCCUAUGGGUUGUAAACUUCUUUUAUAUGGGAAUAAAAUGUUCCACGUGUGGGAUUUUGUAUGUACCAUAUGAAUAAGGAUCGGCUAACUCCGUGCCAGCAGCCGCGGUAAUACGGAAGGUCCGGGCGUUAUCCGGAUUUAUUGGGUUUAAAGGGAGCGUAGGCCGGCUUUUAAGUCAGCUGUGAAAGUCCGCGGCUCAACCGUGGAAUUGCAGUUGAAACUGGAGGCCUUGAGUGCACACAGGGAUGCCGGAAUUCAUGGUGUAGCGGUGAAAUGCUUAGAUAUCGCGCAGAACUCCGAUUGCGAAGGCAGCAUGCCGGCUCCACACUGACGCUGAGGCACGAAAGCGUGGGUAUCGAACAGGAUUAGAUACCCCUGUAC
rnacentral:rRNA from 1 species